rnacentral:lncRNA from 1 species
GCCAGUUAUUUGAUAUUUUUGCAAAGGAUCACUUACAAUAAGGGGUUUUAUAUGCUGAAUUCACUAUAAGCCUUAAAGGCCAUUUAUUAGUCAAGAUUUAAAGAGUACAGACAUGACAAACGGUUGUUAUUUGUGUAAACUAUAUCUAUAUAGCUUUAAUGUGCCUUUAAUAUGUCUUAUGUUAGGCUCUGGUUUGCUAACAUUUAGCUUUGUAGUAUACAAUUUAAUUUCUUUAGAAACCACAAUCAGUUUUUUUGGCAAGAUUAAAGUAUAGGGGAUAAAAUGAAUAUCUGAGUAUUCAUGGAAUACAAACCACAAAUUU